ACGCUCGACACCUACGGGUGGCAGCAGUGGGGAAUAUUGCACAAUGGGGGAAACCCUGAUGCAGCGACGCCGCGUGAGCGAAGAAGUAUUUCGGUAUGUAAAGCUCUAUCAGCAGGGAAGAAACUGACGGUACCUGACUAAGAAGCACCGGCUAAAUACGUGCCAGCAGCCGACGGUAAUCUGAGCGGGCUGGCAAGGC
rnacentral:rRNA from 1 species